rnacentral:rRNA from 1 species
AUUGAACGCUGGCGGCAGGCCUAACACAUGCAAGUCGAGCGGAGCGGCGGACGGGUGAGUAAUGCCUAGGAAUCUGCCUGUUAGUGGGGGAUAACGUCCGGAAACGGGCGCUAAUACCGCAUACUAUCAGAUGAGCCUAGGUCGGAUUAGCUAGUGGGGGGGGUAAAGGCCUACCAAGGCGACGAUCCGUAACUGGUCUGAGAGGAUGAUCAGUCACACUGGAACUGAGACACGGUCCAGACUCCUACGGGAGGCAGCAGUGGGGAAUAUUGGACAAGGGGCGAAAGCCUGAUGCAGCCAUGCCGCGUGUGUGAAGAAGGCCUUCGGGUUGUAAAGCACUUUAAGUUGGGAGGCGUUACCAGCAGAAUAAGCACCGGCUAACGCCGUGCCAGCCGCCGCGGUAAUAC